AUUGAACGCUGGCGGCAGGCCUAACACAUGCAAGUCGAGCGGAUGAAGGGAGCUUGCUCCUGGAUUCAGCGGCGGACGGGUGAGUAAUGCCUAGGAAUCUGCCUGGUAGUGGGGGAUAGCGUCCGGAAACGGGCGCUAAUACCGCAUACGUCCUGAGGGAGAAAGUGGGGGAUCUUCGGACCUCACGCUAUCAGAUGAGCCUAGGUCGGAUUAGCUAGUUGGUGGGGUAAAGGCCUACCAAGGCGACGAUCCGUAACUGGUCUGAGAGGAUGAUCAGACACACUGGAACUGAGACACGGUCCAGACUCCUACGGGAGGCAGCAGUGGGGAAUAUUGGACAAUGGGCGAAAGCCUGAUCCAGCCAUGCCGCGUGUGUGAAGAAGGUCUUCGGAUUGUAAAGCACUUUAAGUUGGGAGGAAGGGCAGUAAGUUAAUACCUUGCUGUUUUGACGUUACCAACAGAAUAAGCACCGGCUAACUUCGUG
rnacentral:rRNA from 1 species